rnacentral:lncRNA from 1 species
UUGCUUUUUAAACAGGCAACACUCAACUUCCAUGCCAAAGUAGUCUAAGACCAAUACCAACUUCCCAGUAAGUGCUUUUUUUUUCCUGUACUACUAAGCUCAGAUUUUUCAUUAUUUCGUUAUCCAUUUUAAAUUACAAAAUCUACGUCGAAUUUUAGACUUACAUUAUCAACAUACUCUGUUUUCCUCUACUUUUAGAGGUAAUAACCUAAUUUGCAUCUUUGUCUACUCAAUGAUGGACCAAAAGGUGAUUGUAAACUUGCAACUUCCAAGUAGCUCUUACCACAUCAAUGCCAUUACCCGCGCUUUCCUUUUUAUGAAACUUGGAAUGGUUACAGUAUAAAUAAAAAAAAAUAAAAAAUCCCCACUCUUAGUGGUGUUACUGAGCGAUUCUUGCUAUCUUAAUUUUCUUUUUCAUUUGUAUGUCAUUAGGUGUUCACUAAUUGAUGAUUGAAACACAAUAUUGCAGGAACAUAUUGCAACUUGCUUUUUAAACAAGCAACACUCGACUUCCAUGCCAAAGUAGUCUAAGACCAAUACCAACUUCCCAGUAAGUGCUUUCCUUUUCCUGUACUACUAAGCUCAGAUUUUUCAUUAUUUCGUUAUCCAUUUUAAAUUACAAAAUCUAUGUCGAAUUUUAGACUUACAUUAUCAACAUACUCUGCUUCCCUCUACUUUUAGAGGUAAUAACCUAAUUUGCCUCUUUGUCUACUCAAUGAUGGACCAAAAGGUGAUUGUAAACUUGCAACUUCCAAGUAGCUCUUACCACAUCAAUGCCAUUACCUGCGCCUUCCUUUUUAUGAAACUUGGAAUGGUUACAGUAUAAAUAAAUAAAUCCCCACUCUUAGUGGCGUUACUGAGCGAUUCUUGCUAUCUUAAUUUUCUUUUUCAUUUGUAUGUCAUUAGGUGUUCACUAAUUGAUGAUUGAAACACAAUAUUGCAGGAACAUAUUGCAACUUGCUUUUUAAACAUGCAACACUCGACUUCCAUGCCAAAGUAGUCUAAGACCAAUACCAAC